rnacentral:rRNA from 1 species
AGAGUUUGAUUCUGGCUCAGGAUGAACGCUGGCGGCAUGCCUAAUACAUGCAAGUCGAACGGGAGUGCUUGCACUCCAGUGGCGAACGGGUGAGUAAUACAUAGGUAACCUGUCCUUAAGACGAGGAUAGCUUCUAGAAAUGGAAGAUAAAACUGGAUAGGACAUCACAAAUCACAUGAUUAGAUGUUUAAAAGAGCAAUCUACUUAAGGAGGGGCCUGUGGCGCAUUAGCCAGAUGGCGGGGUAAUGGCCCACCAUAGCGAUGAUGCGUAGCCGGUCUGAGAGGACGAACGGCCACAUUGGGACUGAGACACGGCCCAGACUCCUACGGGAGGCAGCAGUAGGGAAUUUUCGGCAAUGGGCGGAAGCCUGACCGAGCAAUGCCGCGUGAAUGAAGAAGUAUUUCGGUAUGUAAAGUUCUUUUAUUUGGGACGAAAAAACAAAUUGACGGUACCAAAUGAAUAAGCCCCGGCUAACUAUGUGCCAGCCGCGGC